UAGCCGAAGCCACGCCCUUCUACUUCCGGUCCAUGGGACCUAUCUUUCAAAAAAAUAUGAAUGGGAGUCAAUGACAGAUGAUAAUUCAUUUUUUUGAUCCCCUUUGAAUUGA